rnacentral:rRNA from 1 species
ACAGAGGGGGCAAGCGUUGCUCGGAAUUACUGGGCGUAAAGGGCGCGUAGGCGGGAUGGCAAGUCGGUCGUGAAAUCCCUCGGCUCAACCGAGGAACGUCGAUCGAUACUGCUGUUCUUGAGGAUUGCAGAGGAGACUGGAAUUCCCGGUGUAGCGGUGAAAUGUGUAGAGAUCGGGAGGAACACCAGUGGCGAAGGCGACUGUCUGGGGAGCAACUGACGCUGAGGCGCGAAAGCUGGGGGAGCAAACGGGA